rnacentral:rRNA from 1 species
UACGAAGGUGGCAAGCGUUAUUCGGAUUUACUGGGCGUAAAGGGUGCGUAGGCGGGUCUUUGAGUCAGGGGUGAAAUCCCUCGGCUCAACUGAGGAACUGCACGGGAAACUGGCUGACUUGAGUUCGGGAGAGGGAAGCGGAAUUCCGGGUGUAGCGGUGAAAUGCGUAGAUAUCCGGAGGAACACCGGUGGCGAAGGCGGCUUCCUGGACCGAUACUGACGCUGAGGCGCGAAAGCUAGGGGAGCAAACAGG